UGGGGAAUUUUGGACAAUGGGGGAAACCCUGAUCCAGCCAUCCCGCGUGUGCGAUGAAGGCCUUCGGGUUGUAAAGCACUUUUGGCAGGAAAGAAACGUUAAGGGUUAAUACCCCGUGAAACUGACGGUACUUGCAGAAUAAGCACCGGCUAACAACGUGCCAGCAGCCGCGGUAAUACGUAGGGUGCAAGCGUUAAUCGGAAUUACUGGGCGGAAAGCGGGCGCAGGCGGUUCGGCAAGAAAGAUGUGAAAUCCCAGUGCUCAACUUUCGAACUGCAUUUUUAACUACCGGGCUAGAGUGUGUCAGAGGUAGCUGGAAUUCCGCGUGUAGCAGUGAAAUGCGUAGAGAUUCGGAGGAACACCGAUGGCGAAGGCAGCCUCCUGGGAUAUCUCUGACGCUCAUGCACGAAAGCUUGGGGAGCAAACAGG
rnacentral:rRNA from 1 species